GCCCGACUAGCUCACCGGUAGAGCGCCUCACUAGUACCAUUCCUCCAGCAGGAUAAUCUCCGUCAUGAGGAGGCAACAGGUUCGACUCCUGUGUUGGGCA